rnacentral:rRNA from 2 species
CAUGCAGUCGAACGAGCUUCCGUUGAAUGACGUGCUUGCACUGCAUUUCAACAAUGAAGCGAGUGGCGAACUGGUGAGUAACACGUGGGUAACUUGCCCAGAAGCGGGGAUAACACUUGGAAACAGGUGCUAAUACCGUAUAACAACGAAACCGCAUGGUUUCUGUUUGAAAGGUGGUUUCGGCUAUCACUUCUGGAUGGACCCGCGGCGUAUUAGUUAGUUGGUGAGGUAAAGGCCCACCAAGACAUGUACGUAGCCACCUGAGAGGGUAAUCGCACAUUGGGACUGAAACGGCCCAAACUCCUACGGGAGGCAGCAGUAGGGAAUCUUCCACAAUGGACGAAAGUCUGAUGGAGCAAUGCCGCGUGAGUGAAGAAGGGUUUCGGCUCGUAAAACUCUGUUGUUAAAGAAGAACACUCUUGAGAGUAACUGUUCAGGAGUUGACGGUAUUUAACCAGAAAGCCACGGCUAACUACGUGCCAGCAGCCGCGGUAAUACGUAGGUGGCAAGCGUUGUCCGGAUUUAUUGGGCGUAAAGCGAGCGCAGGCGGUUUCUUAAGUCUGAUGUGAAAGCCUUCGGCUUAACCGGAGAAGUGCAUCGGAAACUGGGAGACUUGAGUGCAGAAGAGGACAGUGGAACUCCAUGUGUAGCGGUGGAAUGCGUAGAUAUAUGGAAGAACACCAGUGGCGAAGGCGGCUGUCUAGUCUGUAACUGACGCUGAGGCUCGAAAGCAUGGGUAGCAAACAGGAUUAAUACCCUGGUAGUCCAUGCCGUAAACAUGAUGCUAGGUGUUGGAGGGUUUCCCCCUUCAUGCCCACUAACCAUUAACACUCCCCUGGGGAUACACCCAGGUUGAAACUCAAAGGAAUUGACGGGCCCCCACAACUGGACAUGUGGUUUAAUUC